AUUGAACGCUGUCGGCAGGCUUAACACAUGCAAGUCGAGCGGAGCGAGGGUGCUUGCACCUUAGCUUAGCGGCGGACGGGUGAGUAAUGCUUAGGAAUCUGCCUAUUAGUGGGGGACAACAUUCCGAAAGGAAUGCUAAUACCGCAUACGCCCUACGGGGGAAAGCAGGGGAUCUUCGGACCUUGCGCUAAUAGAUGAGCCUAAGUCAGAUUAGCUAGUUGGUGGGGUAAAGGCCUACCACGGCGACGAUCUGUAGCGGGUCUGAGAGGAUGAUCCGCCACACUGGGACUGAGACACGGCCCAGACUCCUACGGGAGGCAGCAGUGGGGAAUAUUGGACAAUGGGCGCAAGCCUGAUCCAGCCAUGCCGCGUGUGUGAAGAAGGCCUUUUGGUUGUAAAGCACUUUAAGCGAGGAGGAGGCUACUUGGAUUAAUACUCUAGGAUAGUGGACGUUACUCGCAGAAUAAGCACCGGCUAACUCUGUGCCAGCAGCCGCGGUAAUACAGAGGGUGCGAGCGUUAAUCGGAUUUACUGGGCGUAAAGCGUGCGUAGGCGGCUUUUUAAGUCGGAUGUGAAAUCCCUGAGCUUAACUUAGGAAUUGCAUUCGAUACUGGGAAGCUAGAGUAUGGGAGAGGAUGGUAGAAUUCCAGGUGUAGCGGUGAAAUGCGUAGAGAUCUGGAGGAAUACCGAUGGCGAAGGCAGCCAUCUGGCCUAAUACUGACGCUGAGGUACGAAAGCAUGGGGAGCAAACAGGAUUAGAUACCCUGGUAGUCCAUGCCGUAAACGAUGUCUACUAGCCGUUGGGGCCUUUGAGGCUUUAGUGGCGCAGCUAACGCGAUAAGUAGACCGCCUGGGGAGUACGGUCGCAAGACUAAAACUCAAAUGAAUUGACGGGGGCCCGCACAAGCGGUGGAGCAUGUGGUUUAAUUCGAUGCAACGCGAAGAACCUUACCUGGUCUUGACAUAGUAAGAACUUUCCAGAGAUGGAUUGGUGCCUUCGGGAACUUACAUACAGGUGCUGCAUAGCUGUCGUCAGCUCGUGUCGUGAGAUGUUGGGUUAAGUCCCGCAACGAGCGCAACCCUUUUCCUUAUUUGCCAGCGGGUUAAGCCGGGAACUUUAAGGAUACUGCCAGUGACAAACUGGAGGAAGGCGGGGACGACGUCAAGUCAUCAUGGCCCUUACGACCAGGGCUACACACGUGCUACAAUGGUCGGUACAAAGGGUUGCUACCUAGCGAUAGGAUGCUAAUCUCAAAAAGCCGAUCGUAGUCCGGAUUGGAGUCUGCAACUCGACUCCAUGAAGUCGGAAUCGCUAGUAAUCGCGGAUCAGAAUGCCGCGGUGAAUACGUUCCCGGGCCU
rnacentral:rRNA from 1 species